ACAGCAGUGCCAGCCAUGUGGGAGCAUGCCUGCUGUUAUUAACCCCUGCAAUCCUGCACAGCAGUGCCAGCCAUGUGGGAGCAUACCUGCUGUUAUUAACCCCCUGCAUUCCUGCACAGCUGUGCCAGCCAUGUGGGAGCAUGCCUGCUGUUAUUAACCCUCUGCAUUCCUGCACUGCAGUGCCAGCCAUGUGGGAGCAUGCCUGCUGUUAUUAACCCCCUGCAAUCCUGCACUGCAGUGCCAGCAAUGUGGGAGCAUACCUGCUGUUAUUAACCCCCUGCAUUCCUGCACAGCAGUGCCAGCCAUGUGGGAGCAUGCCUGCUGUUAUUAACCCCCUGUAUUCCUGCACAGCAGUGCCAGCCAUGUGGGAGCAUGCCUGCUGUUAUUAACCCCCUGCAUUCCUGCACUGCAGUGCCAGCCAUGUGGGAGCAUGCCUGCUGUUAUUAACCCCCUGCAUUCCUGCACUGCAGUGCCAGCCAUUUGGGAGCAUGCCUGCUGUUAUUAACCCCCUGCAAUCCUGCACUGCAGUGCCAGCCAUUUGGGAGCAUGCCUGCUGUUAUUAACCCCCUGCAAUCCUGCACAGCAGUGCCAGCCAUGUGGGAGCAUGCCUGCUGUUAUUAACCCCCUGCAUUCCUGCACAGCAGUGCCAGCCAUGUGGGAGCAUGCCUGCUGUUAUUAACCCUUGCAUUCCUGCACUGCAGUGCCAGCCAUGUGGGAGCAUGCCUGCUGUUAUUAACCCUUGCAUUCCUGCACAGCAGUGCCAGCCAUGUGGGAGCAUGCCUGCUGUUAUUAACCCCCUGCAUUCCUGCACAGCAGUGCCAGCCAUGUGGGAGCAUGCCUGCUGUUAUUAACCCUUGCAUUCCUGUACAGCAGUGCCAGCCAUGUGGGAGCAUGCCUGCUGUUAUUAACCCCCUGCAUUCCUGCACAGCACUGCCAGCCAUGUGGGAGCAUGCCUGCUGUUAUUAACCCUUGCAUUCCUGCACAGCAGUGCCAGCCAUGUGGGAGCAUGCCUGCUGUUAUUAACCCUUGCAUUCCUGUACAGCAGUGCCAGCCAUGUGGGAGCAUGCCUGCUUUUAUUAACCCCCUGCAUUCCUGCACAGCACUGCCAGCCAUGUGGGAGCAUGCCUGCUGUUAUUAACCCCCUGCAUUCAUGCACAGCAGUGCCAGCCAUGUGGGAGCAUGCCUGCUGUUAUUAACCCUUGCAUUCCUGUACAGCAGUGCCAGCCAUGUGGGAGCAUGCCUGCUGUUAUUAACCCCCUGCAUUCCUGCACAGCACUGCCAGCCAUGUGGGAGCAUGCCUGCUGUUAUUAACCCUUGCAUUCCUGCACAGCAGUGCCAGCCAUGUGGGAGCAUGCCUGCUGUUAUUAACCCUUGCAUUCCUGUACAGCAGUGCCAGCCAUGUGGGAGCAUGCCUGCUGUUAUUAACCCCCUGCAUUCCUGCACAGCACUGCCAGCCAUGUGGGAGCAUGCCUGCUGUUAUUAACCCUUGCAUUCCUGCACAGCAGUGCCAGCCAUGUGGGAGCAUGCCUGCUGUUAUUAACCCUUGCAUUCCUCCGCCUGCACUGCAGUGCCAUGUGUGACAGAGCAGUAGAGUCAUAGCUGUUAACCUAAACAAGUUGAUUUUAUUUUUCAUCCUCAGAAAGAGGUGAAGUGUUAUACAGGCACUAAGCUUGGAAAAACUACUCUGAAUGGGGCAAUUUGUUUCCUACAUAUCAAUACGUUAAAUAUACUUGUUCCUGUAAUGUAAAUAUCCUACAAUGAUGGUGUUUCUCUAUAUACGGAUUUGUAAAAAUGUAUAAUUCAAAAAAUGAUAGCUAAUUUUAAUAACUAACUCCAUCUCAAUUUUAUUCCGCAGACUUUAAAAAAUGGACUCUAAUGGAAACUAUGACUUGUUGACCAACGUCAACACAUUUCAUAAUCUUAAUCUAUCACCUAAUGAUAAUUCUUCUCUCGUGCUGUUGCAUGAAAAAGAUGAGACAUCUCAUGAAAUGGAAACUUUGGAAUCUUAUUCAUUGGAGACACUGUUCGAGAACAACAAUGAGCUACAGGUACUUUUAGGCACAUAUGAACAUGGUACCAACACAGAUGCCUUCAGCUUCCGAGCGCACAUGUAACCAUCCGGAACUUUCAUCGGAGCAAUCGGGGUGUUGCUGUUAUACUAAGAGAAUCUGCUCUAUUUAAAACUACAGUUCCGUCUGCAAUUCGUUAAACACGUCUAGUAAUUUGGUUAUUGAACAAGAACAAGUCCCUGGAUCAUCUAGCGCAUUAUUUAAUGUAACAAUCCGAGAACAUAAAAGUCUAAUAACCGUCAAUAAGAAGCAAGAAAUCAAAAAAAUACAAAAAAAACUUUGUGAAAAAUAUUCCGGUGAAGCGCAAAAUUCAUCUUGUUUUCCUCAUAACCCACUUGCAAUUGACAAUGCACGUUAUAUUGAAUUCAACUGUCCGGCCAUUGAAGGCGAUUGGUGCAAGUGCCAUGAAUGUAUACCUAUGUCUACCAAUCUGGAAUCCAUAUGCUAUCAGGUAGUAGAAAACGCAGUAAAAUAUAUGUCAAACAUUAAUUGUAUCAGUCAGCAUGAAUUUUUUUCUAUUUUCUGUAAUCGUGUAGAAACAGUAAACAUUACUCAACAAAUAAUUGGUGAUGUUAGAAGACCACCUCCGAGGAAAGAAAAAAACUGGUUUAAAUUUUUUUUUAAGUUUUUGAAUUUUUAUAUAUAUAUAUAUAUAUAUAUAUAUAUAUGUAUAUAGAGAGAGGCAUAUGACAGUAGAUAUGUCAGUACGAAACCGGUGGAACAGUUACGUGUGUCUAGCUGGUGAAUGCACCUUUAUUUGCACCGUAUUAAAAUUUUCUAUAUUUUCAUAAAAUAAAUCAAUUACAAAUCAAUGCAGAAUAGCCUAUGGAAGCAACGGGACCGGUAUUCUCGGACUCUGAGCCCAGCCACACCCACUGUGAAGGAGCCCAGUACCGCCCCGCAACCUCCAAAUCUCCUCCUUGCUCCCCACAGUGGAUGUAGCUGGGCUCAGAGUCAGUUGGACUCAUCUCCUGGGCUGUGUUGUCCUCUUUGAAUAUUUGAACAUGCUAUGCCCAUUGACAUAUCUGCUGUUUGGCCAUGGGAAUCUAACUGUUGACUCCGCAGCUGUUACAGACAGAGAGAGAGAUUAAGCUAUUGGUGUAAUGCUAAAGACAGAAUAUUUCUCAGAUUGUCUGGUCAUUCAAUGGCCAUUCUCACCAAUCAGUUAUCAUAAAGCUCCGGAGUGGAACACCUCUGAAGUAAAGGGAACCGGUCAUGAACUUUAUGCUGCCCUAACUCAGAGCAGCAUAAAGUAGGGACAGACAUGAUGA